AUGUUCUCUGGGGCCCUGGAGCCGAGAGUGUCCACCUGCGGUUCUUUCCCACCCCCCCAACUUGGCCUAGGGCCGUUCCCAGCAAGGGCCUCCUCUGCCCGGCUCCCUCCCACACUCGGGGGCGGGCCCAGCCACCCGCCCAGCGCCGCUUCCGCACGUGGCCCGGGGUCGCCGGGUUCCUGCCGCCCGCGCCCCAGCACGGUGGUUUUCGUCCUCUCUUUCCCCCUCCUCCCCGUGACUUCUUGUAAAGGCCCCGCUCGUCCCCACCCACCUCCGCCCUCCCGCGGCGGCCAGCCCCGGGCCUGCCCCCUCGCCGCCUCCCCUGGAGGCCGCCCUUUCCCCCCGCCCUGGCAGCCGGCUCCGCUUCGGAAACUGUUGACUCAGAGGGUGGCAGGGCGGCCAGCCUCUGAUGUCAGCCUGGAGCGGGGCCGGGGGGAGGGGGCGGGGGCCGAGCGCGGGCGGCGGGGGGAGGGGGCGCCGGGCCGCGGGAGGAGCCGGCUGGGGGCUGCGGGGCUCGGCUCGGCCCGGGGGCGCCCGGCUGCGCUCGGCGCUGCGGGCUCGGCGGCGGCGGCGGCGGCGGCCCGGGCGCCCGUGAGUCACCGUGCGUCAGCGGCGCAGCGGCCCGGGGCGGCGGAGGCUCCCGGGCUCCCGCUGACUCAUCAGAAAGCCGUGCCGCGCGGCCCGGGCGGGGCGGCGGGAGAGGCCCGCGCGGGCGGCGGCCGAGGGCGUUUGAGGCGCGCCGAGCCGGAAAACCCCAAGGAGGCGGCGGUGGCGGCUGGGGGCUGGGCCGGCACAGUCGGGGGAGCGGGCACGGCUGGCAGCUGCCGGGGUCACCUGCGGCGCGGCCGGGCGACGGCGACAAAAGGAGGAAACAAGUCCCCCGCCCUAGCAGCCGGCCAGCGGGGUCAGGGCCUACUCCCCUUGGCGGGCCCCAGCGGGGGAGGGAGUGCGCGACAGGUGGGAGGCCCCCUUCCUGGUGUCGCACACGCCCCGCUGGCGGGAGAAGGCGGUUCCGAGGCACCAGCGGCGGCCUGGUGGCGCCCGAGGUCGCAGGGCUUGUCCCCCUCCCUUUAA
rnacentral:lncRNA from 1 species